rnacentral:rRNA from 1 species
GUCAUUAGAGUAAGUAUAAGUCGUACCAGGUUUCCGUAGGUGAACCUGCGGAAGGAUCAUUAUCGAAGUCUAAGAGUUGUCGCUGGCCCCUAGGGGUCGUGCACGCUCGCCGUUCUUCAUUUCUCCAUCUAUUUGUGCACCUCCUUGUGUGGAUCCAUGUCCCUUGGGGGACGAUUGGGGACUGCUUUGCGAAUACCUCUUUUUGCAGGCUUUCCUUGUGUCGGAUCCUCAUUUUCUUCACAUACCACUAGAAACAAUAGAGAAGGGUUGGAAUUAUAAAUAUAUACAACUUUCAGCAACGGAUCUCUUGGCUCUCGCAUCGAUGAAGAACGCAGCGAAAUGCGAUAAGUAAUGUGAAUUGCAGAAUUCAGUGAAUCAUCGAAUCUUUGAACGCAUCUUGCGCUCCUUGGUAUUCCGAGGAGCAUGCCUGUUUGAGUGUCAUUAAUAUCUCAACCACGCACGAAAGCGUGUGGCUUGGACUUGGGGGAUGAUGCAGGCUCGGACUCGGUCGGUCGGUCUGCUCCCCUGAAAUACAUGAGCGAAAUAAAAGGCCUCUUUGUUGGGUGUGAUAACUCUAUCUGCAUCCGAGGGUCGUUUAUGUUUGCCAGAUUGGAUUGGAUUGGAUUUCAUUUGACUUGACCUCAAAUCAGGUAGGACCACCCGCUGAACUUAAGCAUAUCAAUAAGCGGAGGAAAAGAAACUAACCAGGAUUCCCUUAGUAACUGCGAGUGAACCGGGAAGAGCUCAAAUUUGUAAUCUGGCGGUCAUUCGAUCGUCCGAGUUGUAAUCUAGAGAAGUGUUACCUGCUCUGGACCGUGUACAAGUCUCCUGGAAUGGAGCAUCACAGAGGGUGAGAAUCCCGUCUUUGACAUGGACUGCCAGAGCUUAAUAGGUGUGCUCUCGAAGAGUCGAGUUGUUUGGGAAUGCAGCUCAAAAUGGGUGGUAAAUGCCAUCUAAAGCUAAAUAUUGGCGAGAGACCGAUAGCGAACAAGUACCGUGAGGGAAAGAUGAAAAGAACUUUGGAAAGAGAGUUAAACAGUACGUGAAAUUGCUGAAAGGGAAACGCUUGAAGUCAGUCGCGUCGGUCGGAAAUCAACCUUGCUUCUGCUGGGCGUACUUUCCGUCCGACGGGUCAGCGUCAGUUUCGGUCGCUGGAUAAAGUUCUUGGGAAUGUGGCAUCCUCGGAUGUGUUAUAGCCCUUUGACAUACACAGCGGCCGGGAUUGAGGAAUUCAGCACGCCCUCCGGGGCUGGGGACUCGUCCCACAAUCUGGGUGCUUAGGAUGCUGGCGUAAUGGCUUUAAUCGACCCGUCUUUAAACACGGACCAAGGAGUCAAACAUGCAUGUGAGUGUUUGGGUGGAAAACCCAUGCGCGCGAUGAAAGUGAAGGUUGAGAUCCCUGUCGUGGGGAGCAUCGACGCCCAGACCAGACCUUCUUGUGACGGAUCUGCGGUAGAGCAUGCAUGUUGGGACCCGAAAGAUGGUGAACUAUGCCUGAAUAGGGUGAAGCCAGAGGAAACUCUGGUGGAGGCU